ensembl:lncRNA
CUGUAGGGGGCUAUUGGGGGAGCUAUAUGGCUCUCUGGAAAGGCUAUAGGGGAAAGUGGGUGGGCUAUAGGGGGUUUAUACGUGGUUAUGUGGCUAUAGGGGGCUGUGGGUGGGCUGUAAGAGGGUUCUAGUAGGGUAGGAGGCUAUAGGGGGCUGUGGAGGGGAUAUAGGGAGAUAUGGGGCAAUAGUGUGUUUUUAGGGGGUUGUGGCAGGCUGUGGGAGGAUAUAAGAUGAUAGGGGGCCAGGGAGGGUUUCUAGAGAAGGGUUUCUGGAGAAGGUAUGGUGGGAUAAAAGGGGGCUGUGGGGGUUAUAGAAGGGCUGUGGCGGUCUAUUUGGGGAUAUAGGGAGAUAUGAGGCUAUAGGGGGUGUUUGGAGGAUGUGGUCCUCUAAAGGGCUGUGUGGGUCCACAGGAUGAUCUGGAGCUAUAGGGUGAUCUCUAAAGGGAUGUGGGGCUUGAAGGCUCUCCCUUCCUUCCUUCCCCCCCUUCCACAGCAGGGAGGGUGAAAUGCUAGUCAUGAAAUUGAAAUUGGAUCUGAAGUUGUCUUGGAAUAGAAUAUGAUGCUUUUGUGGUCUUCAAUCUGAAACGUGUUUUCUCCUUGGGCUUGAGGUAAUCUGUUUAUGUUUAAUGAUUAUGCUUAAUAAUCUAAUCAUGUUUCAUAAUGUCUCUGGAGAAGGUUUCAGUGUGCAGUCUGCUGAUCCGAAAGAAAGAAGGCGGCUUUUGGAGGACUUAAUCAUGGCGAGUCGAGCUGCUGCUGAACCUCCC